UACGGGGGGAGCAAGCGUUGUUCGGAUUUACUGGGCGUAAAGGGUGCGUAGGCGGCGUGACAAGUCACUUGUGAAAUCUCCGGGCUUAACCCGGAGCGGCCAAGUGAUACUGUCGUGCUAGAGUGCGGAAGGGGCUACUGGAAUUCUCGGUGUAGCGGUGAAAUGCGUAGAUAUCGAGAGGAACAUCUGCGGCGAAGGCGGGUAGCUGGGCCGACACUGACGCUGAGGCGCGAAAGCCAGGGGAGCGAACGGG
rnacentral:rRNA from 1 species